rnacentral:rRNA from 1 species
GCGGUAUGUCUGACGACGUCGGCGUGCACUUCUCCCCUAGUAGAACGUCGCGACCCGCUGGGUGUCGGUCUACGAGCUGGAAUGUUGACUGUACCGUCGUUUCGGCGAACGGUGGCAGGCAUCCGGUUAUCACUGACCGGCUGCCCGGCGGUACACGCACGGUAUCGAGCCGCAAUUGAACUGCGUUCAGACCCGUCGCAAGUUAGUGCCAUAUUCGGUGGUUCGGACCUAGUGCCGUCCCUGGAUCCUUUGGCCUACUGUUGGCAGACGGUGUUCUCGAACUGGCUCAUAACAAAUUUAUAUGUGAUACCGGUCGGCGACGCUUUUGCUUUGGGUACUUUCAGGACCCGUCUUGAAACACGGACCAAGGAGUCUAACAUGUGCGCGAGUCAUUGGGACCAAAAAGCCUAAAGGCGCAUUGAAAGAGAAGGUCGACCUCGCGUCGACUGAG